CGGGGUGAGUAAUGCUUGGGAAUCUAGCUUAUGGAGGGGGAUAACUACGGGAAACUGUAGCUAAUACCGCGUAAUAUCGAAAGAUUAAAGUGUGGGACCUUCGGGCCACAUGCCAUAGGAUGAGCCCAAGUGGGAUUAGGUAGUUGGUGAGGUAAAGGCUCACCAAGCCGACGAUCUCUAGCUGGUCUGAGAGGAUGACCAGCCACACUGGGACUGAGACACGGCCCAG
rnacentral:rRNA from 1 species